rnacentral:rRNA from 1 species
UACGUAGGGGGCAAGCGUUGUCCGGAUUUAUUGGGCGUAAAGAGCGUGUAGGCGGCCGUACAGGUCAGCUGUGAAAACUCGAGGCUCAACCUCGAGACGUCGGUUGAAACCGUACGGCUAGAGUCCGGAAGAGGAGAGCGGAAUUCCCGGUGUAGCGGUGAAAUGCGCAGAUAUCGGGAAGAACACCCGUGGCGAAGGCGGCUCUCUGGGACGGUACUGACGCUGAGACGCGAAAGCGUGGGGAGCGAACAGG